GAUGAACGCUGGCGGCGUGCCUAAUACAUGCAAGUCGAGCGAACAGAUGAGGAGCUUGCUCCUCUGACGUUAGCGGCGGACGGGUGAGUAACACGUGGAUAACCUACCUAUAAGACUGGGAUAACUUCGGGAAACCGGAGCUAAUACCGGAUAAUAUUUUGAACCGCAUGGUUCAUUAGUGAAAGACGGUUUUGCUGUCACUUAUAGAUGGAUCCGCGCCGCAUUAGCUAGUUGGUAAGGUAACGGCUUACCAAGGCAACGAUGCGUAGCCGACCUGAGAGGGUGAUCGGCCACACUGGAACUGAGACACGGUCCAGACUCCUACGGGAGGCAGCAGUAGGGAAUCUUCCGCAAUGGGCGAAAGCCUGACGGAGCAACGCCGCGUGAGUGAUGAAGGUCUUCGGAUCGUAAAACUCUGUUAUUAGGGAAGAACAAAUGUGUAAGUAACUAUGCACGUCUUGACGGUACCUAAUCAGAAAGCCACGGCUAACUACGUG
rnacentral:rRNA from 1 species